rnacentral:tRNA from 1 species
UCUUAAAUACACAUAAAAACAUAUAAUAAAACUAUCUUUGAGCAUGUAAUUUAAAUUAGUUAAAU